UACGUAGGGUCCAAGCGUUAUCCGGAAUCACUGGGCGUAAAGCGUGCGUAGGUGGUUUGUUAAGUGUAUUGCGAAAUCCUGUGGCUCAACCAUAUGGACUGUAAUGCAUACUGGCAAACUAGAGGACGGCAGAGGCAAGUGGAAUUACUGGUGUAGCAGUGAAAUGCGUAGAGAUCAGUAGGAACGACCAAUGGCGAAGGCAGCUUGCGUGGGCCGACCCUGACGCUAAGGCACGAAAGCGUGGGGAGCGAACAGG
rnacentral:rRNA from 1 species